UUUGAUCCUGGCUCAGAGUGAACGCUGGCGGCAGGCCUAAUACAUGCAAGUCGAACGGCAGCACAGCAGAGCUUGCUCUGUGGGUGGCGAGUGGCGGACGGGUGAGGAAUACAUAGGAAUCUGCCCAGUCGUGGGGGAUAAAGUAGGGAAACUUACGCUAAUACCGCAUGCGCCCUUUGGGGGAAAGCCGGGGACCUUCGGGCCUGGCGCGAUUGGAUGAGCCUAUGUCUGAUUAGCUAGUUGGAGGGGUAAAAGCCCACCAAGGCGACGAUCAGUAGCUGGUCUGAGAGGAUGAUCAGCCACACUGGGACUGAGACACGGUCCAGACUCCUACGGGAGGCAGCAGUAGGGAAUAUUGGACAAUGGGGGCAAGCCUGAUCCAGCCAUGCCG
rnacentral:rRNA from 1 species